rnacentral:piRNA from 1 species
UUCUCUCUUUUCCUUUUCAAU